GUGUAUUUCAGCUCCACAGGUAAAGGCUUCAGAUUGAGUUUUGGAAUUUCUUCUUCAACAGCUGCCUCUUCUUCUUCAUUGAACAAAGGUAGAAUUCCUUCUAUCUUUCUCCAACUUUGUAGAGUAGCAAGCCCAUUAGGAGAUUCAGAAAAACCUUCCUCAAUAUCCACAAGACUUUCAUUCAACUUGUCUUGCAUAU
rnacentral:lncRNA from 1 species